rnacentral:rRNA from 1 species
AACGAACGCUGGCGGCAUGCCUAACACAUGCAAGUCGAACGAGACCUCCGGGUCUUGUGGCGCCCGGGUGCGUCACGCGAGGGAACCUGCCCUUAUGGUCGGAAUACCUCCCCGAAUGGGGUGCUAAUACCGGACCAUGUCUUCUGCCCAAAGAUUUAUCGCCUUUGGUUGUGCCCGCGUUGGAUUAGCUAGUUGGUAGGGUAAAAGCAUACCAAGGCGACGAUCCAUAGCUGGUCUGAGAGGAUGAUCAGCCACACUGGGACUGAGACACGGCCCAGACUCCUACGGGAGGCAGCAGUGGGGGAUAGUGGAAAAUGGGCGAAAGCAUGAUCCAGCACUGCCGCGUGAGUGAUGAAGGCAUUAAGGUUGUAAAGCUCUUUUAACCAGGAUGAUAAUGACAGUACCGAGAGAAUAAGCUCCGGCUAACUCCGUG